rnacentral:rRNA from 1 species
GACGAACGCUGGCGGCGUGCUUAACACAUGCAAGUCGAACGGAAAGGCCCGGCUUUUGUGGGGUGCUCGAGUGGCGAACGGGUGAGUAACACGUGAGUAACCUGCCCUUGACUUUGGGAUAACUUCAGGAAACUGGGGCUACUACCGGAUAUGAGCUCCUGCUGCAUGGUGGGGGUUGGAAAGUUUCGGCGGUUGGGGAUGGACUCGGGGCUUAUCAGCUUGUUGGUGGGGUAGUGGCUUACCAAGGCUUCGACGGGUAGCCGGCCUGAGAGGGUGACCGGCCACAUGGGGACGGAGCUACGGCCCGGAGUCGUAGGGGAGGCAGCAGUGGGGACUAUUGCACAAUGGGCGGAAGCCGGGUGCAGCAUGACCGCGUGCGGGAUGACGGCCUUCGGGUGGUAAACGGCUUUCACCUGUGACGAAGCGUGGGGAAGGGAAAUGGGUAAGAAGACACGGGCAAACUACGG